UACGUAGGGUGCGAGCGUUAAUCGGAAUUACUGGGCGUAAAGCGUGCGCAGGCGGCUGUGCAAGACAGGUGUGAAAUCCCCGGGCUUAACCUGGGAACUGCACUUGUGACUGCAUGGCUGGAGUACGGCAGAGGGGGAUGGAAUUCCGCGUGUAGCAGUGAAAUGCGUAGAGAUCGGGAGGAACAUCAGUUGCGAAGGCGGCUCUCUGGACCAGCACUGACACUGAGGCACGAAAGCGUGGGGAGCAAACAGG
rnacentral:rRNA from 1 species